GGUUAAGCGACUAAGCGUACACGGUGGAUGCCCUGGCAGUCAGAGGCGAUGAAGGACGUGCUAAUCUGCGAUAAGCGUCGGUAAGGUGAUAUGAACCGUUAUAACCGGCGAUUUCCGAAUGGGGAAACCCAGUGUGAUUCGUCACACUAUCAUUAACUGAAUCCAUAGGUUAAUGAGGCGAACCGGGGGAACUGAAACAUCUAAGUACCCCGAGGAAAAGAAAUCAACCGAGAUUCCCCCAGUAGCGGCGAGCGAACGGGGAGCAGCCCAGAGCCUGAAUCAGUGUGUGUGUUAGUGGAAGCGUCUGGAAAGGCGCGCGAUACAGGGUGACAGCCCCGUACACAAAAAUGCACAUGCUGUGAGCUCGAUGAGUAGGGCGGGACACGUGGUAUCCUGUCUGAAUAUGGGGGGACCAUCCUCCAAGGCUAAAUACUCCUGACUGACCGAUAGUGAACCAGUACCGUGAGGGAAAGGCGAAAAGAACCCCGGCGAGGGGAGUGAAAAAGAACCUGAAACCGUGUACGUACAAGCAGUGGGAGCACAGAGCAAUCUGUGUGACUGCGUACCUUUUGUAUAAUGGGUCAGCGACUUAUAUUCUGUAGCAAGGUUAACCGAAUAGGGGAGCCGAAGGGAAACCGAGUCUUAACUGGGCGUUAAGUUGCAGGGUAUAGACCCGAAACCCGGUGAUCUAGCCAUGGGCAGGUUGAAGGUUGGGUAACACUAACUGGAGGACCGAACCGACUAAUGUUGAAAAAUUAGCGGAUGACUUGUGGCUGGGGGUGAAAGGCCAAUCAAACCGGGAGAUAGCUGGUUCUCCCCGAAAGCUAUUUAGGUAGCGCCUCGUGAAUUCAUCUCCGGGGGUAGAGCACUGUUUCGGCAAGGGGGUCAUCCCGACUUACCAACCCGAUGCAAACUGCGAAUACCGGAGAAUGUUAUCACGGGAGACACACGGCGGGUGCUAACGUCCGUCGUGAAGAGGGAAACAACCCAGACCGCCAGCUAAGGUCCCAAAGUCAUGGUUAAGUGGGAAACGAUGUGGGAAGGCCCAGACAGCCAGGAUGUUGGCUUAGAAGCAGCCAUCAUUUAAAGAAAGCGUAAUAGCUCACUGGUCGAGUCGGCCUGCGCGGAAGAUGUAACGGGGCUAAACCAUGCACCGAAGCUGCGGCAGCGACGCUUAUGCGUUGUUGGGUAGGGGAGCGUUCUGUAAGCCUGCGAAGGUGUGCUGUGAGGCAUGCUGGAGGUAUCAGAAGUGCGAAUGCUGACAUAAGUAACGAUAAAGCGGGUGAAAAGCCCGCUCGCCGGAAGACCAAGGGUUCCUGUCCAACGUUAAUCGGGGCAGGGUGAGUCGACCCCUAAGGCGAGGCCGAAAGGCGUAGUCGAUGGGAAACAGGUUAAUAUUCCUGUACUUGGUGUUACUGCGAAGGGGGGACGGAGAAGGCUAUGUUGGCCGGGCGACGGUUGUCCCGGUUUAAGCGUGUAGGCUGGUUUUCCAGGCAAAUCCGGAAAAUCAAGGCUGAGGCGUGAUGACGAGGCACUACGGUGCUGAAGCAACAAAUGCCCUGCUUCCAGGAAAAGCCUCUAAGCAUCAGGUAACAUCAAAUCGUACCCCAAACCGACACAGGUGGUCAGGUAGAGAAUACCAAGGCGCUUGAGAGAACUCGGGUGAAGGAACUAGGCAAAAUGGUGCCGUAACUUCGGGAGAAGGCACGCUGAUAUGUAGGUGAAGUCCCUCGCGGAUGGAGCUGAAAUCAGUCGAAGAUACCAGCUGGCUGCAACUGUUUAUUAAAAACACAGCACUGUGCAAACACGAAAGUGGACGUAUACGGUGUGACGCCUGCCCGGUGCCGGAAGGUUAAUUGAUGGGGUCAGCGCAAGCGAAGCUCUUGAUCGAAGCCCCGGUAAACGGCGGCCGUAACUAUAACGGUCCUAAGGUAGCGAAAUUCCUUGUCGGGUAAGUUCCGACCUGCACGAAUGGCGUAAUGAUGGCCAGGCUGUCUCCACCCGAGACUCAGUGAAAUUGAACUCGCUGUGAAGAUGCAGUGUACCCGCGGCAAGACGGAAAGACCCCGUGAACCUUUACUAUAGCUUGACACUGAACAUUGAGCCUUGAUGUGUAGGAUAGGUGGGAGGCUUGGAAGUGUGGACGCCAGUCUGCAUGGAGCCGACCUUGAAAUACCACCCUUUAAUGUUUGAUGUUCUAACGUUGACCCGUAAUCCGGGUUGCGGACAGUGUCUGGUGGGUAGUUUGACUGGGGCGGUCUCCUCCUAAAGAGUAACGGAGGAGCACGAAGGUUGGCUAAUCCUGGUCGGACAUCAGGAGGUUAGUGCAAUGGCAUAAGCCAGCUUGACUGCGAGCGUGACGGCGCGAGCAGGUGCGAAAGCAGGUCAUAGUGAUCCGGUGGUUCUGAAUGGAAGGGCCAUCGCUCAACGGAUAAAAGGUACUCCGGGGAUAACAGGCUGAUACCGCCCAAGAGUUCAUAUCGACGGCGGUGUUUGGCACCUCGAUGUCGGCUCAUCACAUCCUGGGGCUGAAGUAGGUCCCAAGGGUAUGGCUGUUCGCCAUUUAAAGUGGUACGCGAGCUGGGUUUAGAACGUCGUGAGACAGUUCGGUCCCUAUCUGCCGUGGGCGCUGGAGAACUGAGGGGGGCUGCUCCUAGUACGAGAGGACCGGAGUGGACGCAUCACUGGUGUUCGGGUUGUCAUGCCAAUGGCACUGCCCGGUAGCUAAAUGCGGAAGAGAUAAGUGCUGAAAGCAUCUAAGCACGAAACUUGCCCCGAGAUGAGUUCUCCCUGACUCCUUGAGAGUCCUGAAGGAACGUUGAAGACGACGACGUUGAUAGGCCGGGUGUGUAAGCGCAGCGAUGCGUUGAGCUAACCGGUACUAAUGAACCGUGAGGCUUAACCUU
rnacentral:rRNA from 1 species